UGUCAUGAGCAUAUCUCCCUGCAGUUUUCGCCUGGUUUCCCACUGAAGCGAAGCAGGGCUGAGCCUGGCCAGUACCUGGAUGGGAAACCUCCUGGGGAAGAUUAAGAUUGCUGCUGG
rnacentral:rRNA from 1 species